rnacentral:rRNA from 1 species
AUUGAACGCUGGCGGCAUGCCUUACACAUGCAAGUCGAACGGUAACAGGUCUUCGGAUGCUGACGAGUGGCGAACGGGUGAGUAAUACAUCGGAACGUGCCCGAUCGUGGGGGAUAACGGAGCGAAAGCUUUGCUAAUACCGCAUACGAUCUACGGAUGAAAGCAGGGGACCGCAAGGCCUUGCGCGAACGGAGCGGCCGAUGGCAGAUUAGGCAGUUGGUGGGAUAAAAGCUUACCAAGCCGACGAUCUGUAGCUGGUCUGAGAGGACGACUGGCCACACUGUGACUGAGACGCGGCCCAGACUCCUACGGGAGGCAGCAGUGGGGCAUUUUGGACAAUGGGCGCAAGCCUGAACCAGCAAUGCCGCGUGCAGGAUGAAGGCCUUCGGGUUGUAAACUGCUUUUGUACGGAACGAAAAGGCUCUGGUUAAUACCUGGGGCUCAUGACGGUACCGUAAGAAUAAGCACCGGCUAACUACGUGCCAGCCGCCGCGGUAAUAC